rnacentral:rRNA from 1 species
UACGGAGGGUGCAAGCGUUAUCCGGAUUCACUGGGUUUAAAGGGUGCGUAGGUGGGCAGUUAAGUCAGUGGUGAAAUCUCCGGGCUUAACCCGGGAAACUGCCAUUGAUACUAUCUGUCUUGAAUAUCGUGGAGGUAAGCGGAAUAUGUCAUGUAGCGGUGAAAUGCUUAGAUAUGACAUAGAACACCAAUUGCGAAGGCAGCUUACUACCCGAAUAUUGACACUGAGGCACGAAAGCGUGGGGAUCAAACAGG